rnacentral:rRNA from 1 species
AUUGAACGCUGGCGGCAGGCCUAACACAUGCAAGUCGAACGAGUGGCGGACGGGUGAGUAAUGUCUGGGAAACUGCCCGAUGGAGGGGGAUAACUACUGGAAACGGUAGCUAAUACCGCAUACCAUCGGAUGUGCCCAGAUGGGAUUAGCAAGUCGGUGGGGUAAUGGCUCACCUAGGCGACGAUCCCUAGCUGGUCUGAGAGGAUGACCAGCCACACUGGAACUGAGACACGGUCCAGACUCCUACGGGCGGCAGCAGUGGGGAAUAUUGCACAAUGGGCGCAAGCCUGAUGCAGCCAGGCGGCUGGGAGUAAGAAGGCCUUCGGGUUGUAAAGUACUUUCAGCGAGGAGGCGUUAAUCGCAGAAGAAGCACCGGCUAACUCCGUGCCAGCCGCCGCGGUAAUAC